CAGCCGCCGCGGUAAUACGUAGGUGGCAAGCGUUGUCCGGAAUUAUUGGGCGUAAAGGGCUCGCAGGCGGUUUCUUAAGUCUGAUGUGAAAGCCCCCGGCUCAACCGGGGAGGGUCAUUGGAAACUGGAAAACUUGAGUGCAGAAGAGGAGAGUGGAAUUCCACGUGUAGCGGUGAAAUGCGUAGAGAUGUGGAGGAACACCAGUGGCGAAGGCGACUCUCUGGUCUGUAACUGACGCUGAGGAGCGAAAGCGUGGGGAGCGAACAGGAUUAGAUACCCCCGUAGUCCCUGUCUCUUAUAA
rnacentral:rRNA from 1 species